CGCUCCAUCCAGGUACCGCAGUCGAAUGUUGAUUGUCCUGCUUGAGUUAUUCCAUUUGGUUCUGUUACUUUUAAAUCGUAUGCCGUGUGCCUCUUUUGUUCUGUAAAACAGAACGUUGGGUGGUACAUACAAGGUGAUUGAAGGUGGCAGUGAGAAAAAUCGACAUGGCGAGACGGAAGCACAAUUUUUCAAGUGUCAGGGAAAUUCCCAAAUGAUCCGCUUGAGCUCAAACAACAAUACAGUGUGAUAAGAUAAAACGUCCGACAAAUGAAACCUAUCCCAGUCAAAAGUCUUUGCUGUCGAAGUGGCCAUGACUGACAUUUGCUGCUCUGAUUGUGAUGCACUUAUUUCGCAAAAACGACACAAUUUCAAUAAACAAAAAACAACUACUAGUCUUCCAAACCUGAUUCAUGUGAAGAGUUCUUUUUCCUCAAGUUCAGUGAAAAAAAUGCUAGAAUUUGUCAUGGCACUCCAAUACCGCUAGAAAUCCAAAACGUCUAUUGAAGCGUUCUCAAAAAAUAAGAACUCAUGACGAGCCAGACUUAUGGGUCUGGCUGCAAGAAAACGUCCAUGAGUCCAAAGCUAAGGAUGCUUUGUCUCAUCGGCCCAACUCGAUCGGGGAAAGAAAUGGGGGGUGUUGCAUACGACACGAAACCCUGCCUGAGCACACACUCUCUGCUGACAAAAGAAGAACUGACUGAAUGGAUAUAUAGUACGUGGUACAUUUAGUACACUGAGAAUGAGGGGAUCAAGCACCCUUUUUUUCCUCCAUUGACUUGAGCACUGAGAAACGAUGGUAAUGAUCAAUAGACGCUCUGUUUGGAAGCCCAAGCUCAUGCUGUGAUCUCCAAGUUCGUCAAGAUACCACUGUUAAGGAUAAAGAGGCGGAGCGAGCGAGAGAGAGAGAGAGAGAGAGAGAGAGAGAGCAGGAAGAAAAAAAAAAUCCUGGGUUCGGUUAAUAAUAUGACACCUCUAAGGUUAAUUGCCAAUCAAGAAAUCGCCCCCAAAACCUCGGAAACCUGAUCAUCCAGCUACCACCGUCUUGGCGUCUCGAGGUCCGGAAUUCUCGUCAACUGGAAGGGCACUUCAUUAGCACCCCACUUUAAAAGUCCAUAAAACACUUUGGGGUAUUUAAGAGUGCCCGAAGAGUGUACCUUCGCCAAAAGAGACCUCUUUUUAUCAUCUCAUUCGCACCUGUGAAAUGGCCCUCCCCCUGAAUAGGAACGCGAUCUUUAUCCACCUUAUUUAUGACCCCUUGAGUUGCAUUGAGCUAUCAUUAUGAGAGGGAGUAAUGGCAGCAAAACUACCAAGCAAGCCUUAUCUGGCUGCCAAAACCUCCAUUCGUGUAAUGCAUCAAUACCUAACUGACAAUACGCACACACAUGUGGCAGCUUGAUCCGGCAGGAACCACUGCAUUUGAUCACUCGACCACGGAUCAUCACAGAACGUACACAACAUAUAGAACGUACGUAGAUCUUUGUUCAUGCAAACUUAAGCCAAGGAUAAUUGAGAAUCAAUCGGCUCCUUUGCUUUGAAUUGUAUUUUUAGCUCCGUCUUUUUCCGUUCCGUUUCCUGGUGAUUUGACGUUAAUUGCGUCACUUCCCUAGAUUUGCCAGAGUCAGGCAACCUAUCGAAUCCAGCCGGAUUGAGAAAAUGGAGUGAGGAAAAAAAAAGAGAAUCGUGUGCGCGAGUUCAUCAAGGUUUGUUAUGAUUGAAGACGGCGAGAGGCUCCCCUCAAAUCAGACGGAAGUUUUCUGCUCCCAAAAAAAAAGUUCCCUCUUUUUCCCCUCCUUCGUCAGGUUUUCUUUACAAAUCUCAAAUUGGGUUGACAAUACUAGGUUACCAACUUACUAGCGUGGACUUCUUGACUAUACCUAUGAAGAUUCGUUGUUUUCAAUGGAUGAAGCCAAAUUGCGAUUUGAGGGUUUGGCAAAGGUCUUUGUUGCUUUGAAACAAGUGCGACUAAUUCGUGCUCAUUCAAGUCUGUCCAAAGGUGGUAUUGUCCUCCAAAAUUUGGCUGCUCUGGCCGGAUUUUGUGUGGAUAGUGGUGAUUGAAUCUUUCAUAAUACGCUUUGAUACGUCUUGGUCAAUAGCUCCCAUGCAGGAGCAGGGGAGGCCUUUUCACAGACUGCUACAGAACAAACUCCUUCCAGCGAGUUCACUUUCUUUCUCCUCACUCCAGAAGUUCAGGAGGAAAAGUUGGAGAGAGCUGGCAACAAUGAAGUAUCCGGGCUCAAUUCUGCUUCAAUGGACCCUUCAAGGAAAGCAUUCCAAUCGCACGUAGCUACUAAACCCCAAGGGUGUGUGCGUGGGUGGGUGUGCAUGCGGUGUUUUAGCGAGGGAUUACUGCAGAACAUCCCCCACACCUACCUCUUAAGAAGCUCGCCACAAAGCUCUCUAUUCUCAAUUUUACGUUGUACAGGCAAAGUGUCUUUGAAAUGUGCGGGGUAUUUUUUGGUCCCCUCUUACCGGGAAAAAGGAGAAUUAGGUUUUGGGCCUCGCGGCGGGGAAAAUGAAUCUCGAGCGAUAUGUCAUAUUUUUCUCCUAUUUUAGUCGGCAUUCUCCACCGGUAAGACUAAUUACCCUCCAUUGCGGCUACCCCAUUAUCAAAGUGAACAGAAAUGAAACCAACCAAAGCCCACCGAUCCCGGGUUGAGCCUUGGCCAUUCUUGAGUCCGACCACAUGGAUGGAUGGAGAGGCCAGAAUAAUUAUCAUCCAUCAAGCGAGUUAUAUGCAUGCAAUUUUCGUGGCAGAUCCCUCGUUCUUUCAUAAGGAUCGACAUCAUCUACCCCAGCAGCAGCAGCAGCAGCAGCAGCAAUGACAGCAGUUCAUAAUGAACAUUGCUCAUGAAUUCAAUCCAAGGAGGACUUGACGCGUUGCUGGGCGAGAGAUUGAGGCUUCAUUUUAGGGCAAUUAAAUCCUCAUAGCGUCUCCAUGGCCUGAAUGACUGAUGGGAGUCCGU